GAUGAACGCUGGCGGCGUGCCUAAUACAUGCAAGUCGAGCGAACAGACGAGGAUCUUGCUCCUCUGACGUUAGCGGCGGACGGGUGAGUAACACGUGGAUAACCUACCUAUAAGACUGGGAUAACUUCGGGAAACCGGAUCUAAUACCGGAUAACAUGUUGAACCGCAUGGUUCAACAGUGAAAGACGGUUUUGCUGUCACUUAUAGAUGGAUCCGCGUCGCAUUAGCUAGUUGGUAGGGUAACGGCUUACCAAGGCAACGAUGCGUAGCCGACCUGAGAGGGGUGUCAGGCACACUGGAACUGAGACACGGUCCAGACUCCUACGGGGGGCAGCAGUGGGGAAUAUUUGACAAUGGGCGAAAGCCUGAUCGAGCCAAGCCGCGGGUGUGAAGAAGGGCUUCGGAUUGUAAAACCCUUUUAGUUGGGAGGAAAGAAAGUAAGAAAAAACCUUGCUGUUUUGACGUUACCAACAUAAGAAGCCCCGGCUAACUUCGUG
rnacentral:rRNA from 1 species